AGGCCAGGCUGGAUGUGGCUCUGGGCAGCCUGGUCUAGUGGUUGGUGACUCUGCCUAUGGUGAGGGGGUUGAGUCUGGGCUGAUCUUUGAUGUCCUUUUCAACCAUUCUGUGAUUCUGUGUUGCUCUGCUUUUCUUGCUACAGCACUUGUGGAAAAAGUAGUGGUAAACCUUGCAUCUAGCUCAGGGAAAAAUAAUCCAGCUAAUCUUCAAGGUAUCUGAAUUAGAACAGCAUUAGUAAGGCAUGGACUUUCUUUAAACAGCUUUCACAGAAAUUGAGAUAAUUUCAACAGGCCUCUUGAAGUAGUAACCUGGUCACUGGAGUGGAUAAUUCCAUUUUGAAAGCUUGCAGGAUUUUGAGUGGAGUGCUGGCAUUUCCCGGUAGACUUCUGUGACAUUUAUCUUGUGUGCAUUCUAACCUUUAUCUUUCUCUUUAGCAAUGGCAUAGUCUUUCAGUCUUCCUGCCAUGGCUUGAGUGGGAUAUUGCUGCUGUUCCUGUCUUGAAUGCUUACUGUGAGAGGAGGCAGCUUCAGUCGGAGCCUGGCUGUUGAGUAUUCCUGGUAUUCCCCAACUCUGCUUCUGUGCUAUAGAUAAGCAUUUUGGGAGCAGUGUACAGUUGAGGCUUCCAUGUGCUGCACAGAUGCCAGAGAUGGCCCAGAGGCGGGGCUGGAAGCCAACACAGCGUACUGAAAGAGACAUCUAUUGGAACGGACAGCUUCAACCUCAGGAGACAUUGUCUUGCUGAGAUGCUAGUUACUGCAGCUAAGGCGGCUUCAUUGCCAGCUUCCCAUUGAGUUUAUACCAGCUUCUUUAGCUUUUCAUGUGGAAAAUAAAAAUACUGUCAUAUUGAAACUUGGAAAGUGUAGACCAAUGGUACAAACACCCUUAGACUUAAAACUGAAAAAAAAAAGGUGCAGAUACUAUUUGAUUUGACCUUUUCUCCUUUUACUGUUCUUUUUCUUGUGAUUUUGAGCAGGGUCUUGUGGCUAACUAGCUUUCAUUCUGAGCAAACUGAGCCCACCAUGUUUACUUCAGAGAGUGAUUUAGGACACCUGCAGCUUCAUUUGCUUUAUUGCAUUUAUUUCUUUAUUCUCAGCAUGAAUUGGAAUUUACUACUGGAAACUUGAUAGGGCAGGUGAAUUGGAAUCCCCUUUAGUUAUUAUAAUAUCUUAGGUAUAAGGAUGUUUUUGAGACACCAGGGUUAGUUUAUUGUAACAUUUCAGGAUAUUACAGUUUAUUGGAAGGCUACAGUAAGAGAAUUUAAUGGUAGAAGUGCUUUGCUGUGAGAAUGAUUCACUAAUGGACAGAACCAUAGCCAAAGUUCAGAACAUAAUAGUGCCCAUCAGCCCUAAGACAGUCACCAAUCUCUGCAUUCACCAUGGUAGACGUCUCUGUAAAAAUCCUUGGCCUGGUGAUGCCAACUCAGAAUUAAUGUGGCAGUAGCAGGAAUACAUUGACAUUAGUUGUGAUGCUGAUAGAAGUAGAGGCAUGAAUUUAUUCUCCCUGAUAUGGUGAACUAGUUAUGUUUUUGCCUGGACUGUUUAAGCAAGUUUACAGCAAGUCAGGGUAGGACUUUUCCUAUGCAGGGAAGUUCUGUACAUCCUGAACAAAAGGCCAAGCUGGAUGGAGUAGUUGUUCUUUGUGUUUUGAUGACAGAUCCUGAAUGGAAAUAAGCUGGCUAGUUUGGCUAGAGGAUAAAAACGAUGUAGAUUUUGGUGAUUUCUGUAAGAUCUUAUUGCCUGCUUUGUUGGCAGAGUUGGUCUAGCCUGGAGCACUGAUGGCUGCUGUGUAAGCAAACUGCAAAACUUCUGUUAUUAUUUCUGCAGUGCUAUAUGGUUUAUGCUAUUCAAGUCAUUAUGUGUAUGGCAAUACUGUGUUGCGUUACUUCUUGGUAAUCUUUUACAUACCAAAUUGUUUUCCGGUGUUUACAAAAGCAAACACAUUGGGCAAUUAAUGCAGGUGUUUAGUCUGUUUUAUCGUCAUUGUGCAUGUUAUUUUUUGUUGUCCAGUUGCAUUGCAGUCUUAGCAUGGUGGUAUUUUCUGACUUGAAUUAAAAUAAAGCUAUCCUGAUGGCAGAGGAAAUAGCAAAGAUUCAUGGAAAUGGUUGGUGGGAAGUAGCCUUCCACAGAUAUAACUCGACUCUAGUUCAAGUAGGCAGAGUGAACAAAUUCUGGCAGUGAAAGGGAAUGCUGUCCAUGCAAAAGUGGUAGUAAAGGUUCAAGUGCAACAUAUGUCACUUAGGUACCUUUUCUGGCCUAGGUAAUGUACUGGCAAGUAUAACAUCCUUGACAUCGGUGAUGAGAUACUAGAUUGGUGGUUGAUCAAAAGGAACCAGCUGAUAGUAGGUGUCUUGCCAAAUGCCCAGACCAGGUCACUUGCUUGCAAUCUUCCAUCAUGUUCUUGUUUUUGAAAGAAAAAUUAAUUUUAUAGUAGUUCUGUCAAAAAUAUAAUCUUGUUUAAACAGUGAGCGAUCUUUGCCCAGAUGUACAUUUACUCUGAUUAUUACAUAUUAUUUCUAUUUUAGAAGGCAUUUAUGAGCUGCCCCUUAAAACUACACUUAGAAUUACUGAUGAAAAUCACUAUAGCAGAAUAUGAGAAAACAUUUCUUUUUUAUGUGGAACCAUAAAUUCUUGAAAGACUCAGUGUGCAGCAGUACUUCCAAAUCAGCAGCCUGCCUAUUACAGCUGUGCACUUGGGUUUGCACACCAAAGCCAUUCUGCUGCACAAAACUACCGGCUGUCUUGUUUUGUUCUCUUAGGCUAUGAGAAACAUCUUGAAACAUCUUGAAAGAUAAAGUAGGGAUACUUCUGUGGUCAGUUGGGCUUUCUUUCAGAAGAGUGGAUGCUUCUCUGAUACCUGUUAGUCUUUCGUUUUUCUUGUAAGUUAUUAUUAUUAUUAUUAUUUUUAACUUUAGAAACUAGAAGUCUGAUGUCAUAUUAGCUUAUUGGAAUCAGUUUAUAUUCAGGUGACAAACCAGCUUGGGGCUGUGGAUAUGGAUGUGUAGUUUAGCUCACAUGGAAUUCAGUUUGCUCCAUUUAUGUCUGAGUAGCUUUUGAUGGUAACUGCAAUACUGCUACAAUAAGACACAAACAUCACGGUCUCAUCUCUAUUUUUUUGGAGAACAGUCUUGAAAUACAUUUAUAAUUAAUGGGAAAUAGAAGGGUUUGAUUACAAGUAGGUUUAGUUUUGUAAUUCUGUAGUAAGUGCUUUGUCUCAUUUAGAAAAUGAUGAAAUAAUGUAAAGCACUCUUGAGGGUAGUAAUUGAUGAAGAGAGCUGUUCACGAUUGCUAGUGUGGUUCUCAUCCUAGGUAAUCUGAAUGCUGGCGUUCUUACUCAUGUGACAUACCCAUUGCUGUGAACUGGUAAAGUUUCUCAAAAGAGUUAGUUAGUAGUAGAGUAGAUAGGUCAGAUGAGGAAAUGUGUGAAAAAGGUGUGGUCAUCUAACUAAGUUAAAUGUGGGGGAAAAAAAAGGCCGUCACUGUCAAAAACAGAAAUCCUUUUCUUCCUCCUAGUUACAUUAGGUGGGAGGUUCUCAGAUAAUCUGUCAUCUGUGUUCUUGAGGAAGAUUUGGAGAAGAUCAUAUUCCAGAGUCCUGGAAUGUAUAGGUCUGGACUAUUGAAAAGAGGAAAAACCUGUUGAAAAUCACCUUUAAAAGAGUCUCUAUACAUACAGAACAUGUUUGUAAUCAAAUAAUUGUGGACACAUUCUGCUGAAUACACAGCGUGGUUUGAUUUUUUUUUUUUUUCUCUAUUUCAGACACUUCCUGUAUUGAUCUCAGUAUUUGUUUACAUCUUGAAGAGGCAGUGAACUUUGUAGGGAGUUAAUUAUGAUGUACUUCUUCAUCUGAAACCAGAGCCAUGUUUCUGUCUCAUUAACGAAAUACCUUUCUUUUUGAGUCAAUUAGCAUUACCAGUAUGGAAGAACAAGUGUAUGGUUUUAACUGGAGAUCUCUAGAUGUGUCUGUGCAGUUAUGUUCUUGGUUGUCAGCUAUAAUUAUGUGUGCAGCUGUUAGAACAUUUACGCUCUGGAACACAGGGGGACCAUAAGUGAAUUGUUGGCAUGUCCUUUCUUCCUGCCUUCCUGCAGUAUGUAUUCAGGAAUACAUACUAGAAUGGGUAAAUGUAGGAAAUAUGUGAGAGCUGUCCGUGAUGGUACAUCUUGCAUCUUGCUGCACAUGCUGAUUUGCCCUCACUGGUCUCAAUUUAACUGUUGUUUUUUUCUGAGAUAAACUGCAUCAGAUGCCCUAAUUGCAAACUGUGCUGUUGGUUCCUAAAUAUGAUAAAAGAAUGACUGACAACGAAGAAAAAAUUUGCACAGGUGCUUGGUAUGACAUAGUGUGACCUGAAUCAAAGGUGACAGUCUGUGAGAACAUAUGGGGACUGGUGUGAGUUGGUAGCCUCGUGGGUUUUGAAUGAGAGCAGAUAAGUUAUUGUUUCCUUUUGCUCUUAGCUUCUGUCCUUAUACUCAAUAAUAUGGAGUAAAAACAUGGAGAAGAAUCAGUCACUAGUUGCCAGCGAAAUCCGUGCCUCUCAGGUGUUAACCUGAAGCCUGCAUGUUCUUAGUAGGCUUUUCAGACACCUGAGACAACCAGCAGGGGAAGAAUGUCACCUGUAUAGAAGGAACUUCUAAAGAGACCUGAGGGGAUGCUUCUCUAAUUUAGCAGUGUUCUCUCCAAUCUGGUAAUCUGUCUUCUUUUCCUUUUUAUGACUGAAGAAGGCUUUUUCUGCUUCGGAAGAAUAUUCUCCUGAAUGUGCCCUUGUUGCAGUUUAUAGUUCAGUCCCUGAAGGAAAGGUAUUGCAGCAAAUUCUCGUUGCAUCUGUGCUGUUUUAGGCAUUUGAAGCAGAGGCAGAGAAGCAAGAUGAAGGAUGUAGCUUGUUCCAGGGAAGAGCUUGGGAAAAUCUUGUGCUUUGUGCCCAUGUGUUCUGGGUAAAUAAGUUUGAAGAGCUUCAGUGAUCUUGAAUUUUCUGAAGGUUACCUUGAAGGUGUUUUGUUUGUUUCUAGCAUUUUAACAAGUUGUUAGAAAGGGGCAAAACCACUUGCUUGCCAAUGACCUGUGGUUGCAAAAUGGUUUAUGUAUUGCUGCUGUGUGGCAGGUGAUUAUGGGUACUGAGUCUUUUUGAAAGUAAAAGUGAAUGUAACAGCAUAAAACCCAUCACCCCUGUGCAAAUUGUGUUACAUUAUUCAGGCUAGCAGCGACAAGAGCUGGAUUUAAAGCAAUGCCAUCAAAUAUGUAUUUUUUAUUUCCUGGCUUAUUUGAUACAAAUUUGAAAUCCUAGGGAAAAAUAAUGUGUCUGCAGCAGGCUGGAUUGAUGAGGCAUGGUGCAUCUCCCUUACAAGUCCUCGGGCUCUGUCUGGGACUUGGGAGCCCCAGGAAGACUGCCAUGCUGGUUCAUGCUGGGUGAGGCAGCACUUGACUGGGGAAGAUCCUAACAAAGCCGGCAAUUACUUGAAUUCAGAAAAGCAGAGGUAAAAAGGCAGCCUGCCAGCCCUACUGGAAUGGUGUUUCUUUUGUUGAAGUAAGAAGUUUAAAAAA